GACGAACGCUGGCGGCGUGCUUAACACAUGCAAGUCGAACGGAAAGGCCCUGCUUUUGUGGGGUGCUCGAGUGGCGAACGGGUGAGUAACACGUGAGUAACCUGCCCUUGACUUUGGGAUAACUUCAGGAAACUGGGGCUAAUACCGGAUAGGAGCUCCUGCUGCAUGGUGGGGGUUGGAAAGUUUCGGCGGUUGGGGAUGGACUCGCGGCUUAUCAGCUUGUUGGUGGGGUAGUGGCUUACCAAGGCUUCGACGGGUAGCCGGCCUGGGAGGGUGACCGGCCACAUUGGGACUGAGGUACGGCCCAGACUGCUACGGGAGGCAGCAGUGGGGAAUAUUGCGCAAUGGGCGGAAGCCUGAUGCAGCAACGCCGCGUGCGGGAUGACGGCCUUCGGGUUGUAAACCGCUUUCGCCUGUGACGAAGCGUGAGUGACGGUAAUGGGUAAAGAAGCACCGGCUAACUACGUG
rnacentral:rRNA from 1 species